GUCAGGAUGGCCGAGCGGUCUAAGGCGCCAGACUCAAGGAUCAGCUCCUUCCCGGGGCGGAAGCCGGGACUUCUGGUCUCCCAAUGGAGGCGUGGGUUCAAAUCCCACCCCUGACA
rnacentral:tRNA from 1 species